rnacentral:rRNA from 1 species
GACGAACGCUGGCGGCGUGCUUAACACAUGCAAGUCGAACGAAAAGAGGGAAAGAGCUUGCUCUUUCCGGAAUUGAGUGGCAAACGGGUGAGUAACACGUAAACAACCUGCCUUCAGGAUGGGGACAACAGACGGAAACGACUGCUAAUACCGAAUAAGUUCCAAGGGCCGCAUGGCCCAUGGAAGAAAAGGUGGCCUCUACCUGUAAGCUAUCGCCUGAAGAGGGGUUUGCGUCUGAUUAGCUGGUUGGAGGGGUAACGGCCCACCAAGGCGACGAUCAGUAGCCGGUCUGAGAGGAUGAACGGCCACACUGGAACUGAGACACGGUCCAGACUCCUACGGGAGGCAGCAGUGGGGAAUCUUCCGCAAUGGGCGAAAGCCUGACGGAGCAACGCCGCGUGAGUGAUGACGGCCUUCGGGUUGUAAAACUCUGUGAUCCGGGACGAAAAGGCAGAGUGCGAAGAACAAACUGCAUUGACGGUACCGGAAAAGCAGCCACG